rnacentral:rRNA from 1 species
AACGAACGCUGGCGGCAUGCCUAACACAUGCAAGUCGAACGAAGUCUUCGGACUUAGUGGCGCACGAGUGCGUAACGCGUGGGAAUCUGCCCUUGGGUGCGGAAUAACUUCUCGAAAGGGAUGCUAAUACCGCAUAAUGUCGUAAGACCAAAGAUUUAUCGCCCAAGGAUGAGCCCGCGUAAGAUUAGCUAGUCGGUGGGGUAAAAGCCUACCAAGGCGACGAUCUUUAGCUGGUCUGAGAGGAUGAUCAGCCACACUGGGACUGAGACACGGCCCAGACUCCUACGGGAGGCAGCAGUGGGGAAUAUUGGACAAUGGGCGAAAGCCUGAUCCAGCAAUGCCGCGUGAGUGAUGAAGGCCCUAGGGUUGUAAAGCUCUUUUACCAGGGAUGAUAAUGACAGUACCGGGAGAAUAAGCCCCGGCUAACUCCGUGCCAGCAGCCGC